GUGCUUCAGCAGCACAUAUACUAAAACUGGAAGAAUAUAGAGAACAUUAGCAUGGUCCCUGCACAAGGUAACACGCAAAUUCAUGAAGCAGCCCAUAUUUUU